UUCCACAGUGCCAUGCUGCUGGCGAAAGC
rnacentral:sRNA from 1 species